AACGAACGCUGGCUGCAGGCUUAACACAUGCACGUCGAACGCCCCGCAAGGGGGGUCGCAGACGGGUGAGUAACGCGUGGGAAUCUACCCAUCCCUACGGACCAAGCCCGGGACACUGGAGCAUAUACCGUAUACGCCCUUCGGGGGAAAGAUUUAUCGGGGAUGGAUGGGCCCGCGUUCGAUUAGCAUGUUGGUGGGGUAAAGGUCUACCAAGGCGACGAUCCAUAGCUGGUCUGCGAGGAUGAUCAGCCACAUUGGGACUGAGACACGGCCCAACCUCCUACGGGAGGCAGCAGUGGGGAAUAUGGGACAAUGGGCGCAAGCCUGAUCCAGCCAUGCCGCGUGCGUGAUGAAGGCCUUAGGGUUGUAAAGCUCUUUCACCGAUGAAGAUAAUGACGGUAGUCGGAGAAGAAGCCCCGGCUAACUUCGUGCCAGCAGCCGCCGUAAAAC
rnacentral:rRNA from 1 species